GGCCCGGUAGUUCAGUUGGUUAGAACGCCGCCCUGUCACGGCGGAGGUCGUGAGUUCGAGUCUCAUCCGGGUCGCCA
rnacentral:tRNA from 2 species